UACGGGGGGGGCAAGCGUUGUUCGGAAUUACUGGGCGUAAAGGGCUCGUAGGCGGCCAACUAAGUCAGACGUGAAAUCCCUCGGCUUAACCGGAGAACUGCGUCUGAUACUGGAUGGCUAGAGGUUGGGAGAGGGAUGCGGAAUUCCAGGUGUAGCGGUGAAAUGCGUAGAUAUCUGGAGGAACACCGGUGGCGAAGGCGGCAUCCUGGACCGAUUCUGACGCUGAGGAGCGAAAGCCUGGGGAGCAAACAGG
rnacentral:rRNA from 1 species